CGUUGUUCGGAAUUACUGGGCGUAAAGGGCUCGUAGGCGGCCAACUAAGUCGGAUGUGAAAUCCCCAGGCUCAACCUGGGAACUGCAUCCGAUACUGGAUGGCUUGAAUUCGGGAGAGGGAUGCAGAAUUCCAGGUGUAGCGGUGAAAUGCGUAGAUAUCUGGAGGAAUACCGGUGGCGAAGGCGGCAUCCUGGACCGACAUUGACGCUGAGGAGCGAAAGCCAGGGGAGCAAACAGG
rnacentral:rRNA from 1 species